rnacentral:rRNA from 1 species
UGAGGAAUAUUGGUCAAUGGCCGAGAGGCUGAACCAGCCAAGUCGCGUGAGGGAUGACGGCCCUACGGGUUGUAAACCUCUUUUGUCAGGGAACAAAAGGCGCCACGCGUGGCGCUCCGAGUGUACCUGAAGAAAAAGCAUCGGCUAACUCCGUGCCAGCAGCCGCGGUAAUACGGAGGAUGCGAGCGUUAUCCGGAUUUAUUGGGUUUAAAGGGUGCGUAGGCGGCGAGUUAAGUCAGCGGUAAAAGCCCGGGGCUCAACCCCGGCCCGCCGUUGAAACUGGCUUGCUUGAGUUGGAGAGAAGUAGGCGGAAUGCGCGGUGUAGCGGUGAAAUGCUUAGAUAUCGCGCAGAACUCCGAUUGCGAAGGCAGCCUACCGGCUCCAGACUGACGCUGAGGCACGAAAGCGUGGGUAUCGAACAGGAUUAGAUACCC